GCAAAUCGAAAAUGCCAGGAAAUUUGCAUAUGUAUACAGGGUAAAUAGGUUACAAUCCACGAAGAAAUGAAUACAAAAAGGAAACCCUAGAAGAAAAACAGCUUCUUUUUGUUUUUGGUGGGUACCCAAUGCGAGUAAUUCCCCAAGAAAUUUCCAGUUAUCAUAACUAAAAGCCUGCUGGAAAUUAGUAGAACAAGACCAAGAAACUCCGUCAUUUUUUAAUCCCACGCUCCCACUCAGUUGUUUCCUGGCACUUACCCUGUCGUUUUUUGCCACGCCAUAGCAGAAUCAGCUCAAUCGUUCUUCUGCUAUAUAUAUACAUGGCAACAUUCCAAGUCACCACACUCCAACCAUUUAAGCUCUCACUCUCAUCUACAUU
rnacentral:lncRNA from 1 species